rnacentral:rRNA from 1 species
CGGAUGAGUUGUGGGUAGGGGUGAAAGGCUAAUCAAACUGGGAAAUAGCUCGUACUCCCCGAAAUGUUUUUAGGAACAGCCUCGUGGUAAAGUGUCGCAGAGGUAGAGCUACUAAUUGGGCUAGGGGGCUUCACCGCCUACCAAACCCAGAUAAACUCCGAAUGCUGACGACAUAUACACGGGAGUGAGCCCUUGGGUGCUAAGGUCCGAGGGCGAAAGGGAAAGAACCCAGACCAUCAGCUAAGGUCCCCAAAUCUGUGCUAAGUUGAUAAAACGUGGUCCGAUUGCAUUGACAGCUAGGAUGUUUGCUUGGAAGCAGCAAUUCAUUUAAAGAGUGCGUAACAGCUCACUAGUCGAGCGAUCGGGCGUGGAUAAUAAUCGGGCAUCAAGUACAGUACCGAAGCUAUGGACUUAUAGCAAUAUAAGUGGUAGGGGAGCAUUCUGUUUGCGCUGAAGGCGUAUCGUGAGGUAUACUGGAGCGAACAGAAAAG